rnacentral:ncRNA from 1 species
GAUUAUCGAAGGAUCAGACCUGAAUUCAUAAUC